rnacentral:rRNA from 1 species
AUUGAACGCUGGCGGCAGGCCUAACACAUGCAAGUCGAGCGGGGUUUUCGGACCUAGCGGCGGACGGGUGAGUAAUGCGUAGGAAGCUGCCCGAUAGAGGGGGAUACCAGUUGGAAACGACUGUUAAUACCGCAUAAUGUCUACGGACCAAAGUGUGGGACCUUCGGGCCACAUGCUAUCGGAUGCGCCUACGUGGGAUUAGCUAGUUGGCGAGGUAAUGGCUCACCAAGGCGACGAUCUCUAGCUGGUUUGAGAGGAUGAUCAGCCACACUGGAACUGAGAAACCGUCCAGACUCCUACGGGGGGCAGCAGGGGGGAAUAUUGGGCAAUGGGCGCAAGCCUGAUCCAGCCAUGCCGCGUGUGUGAAGAAGGCCUUCGGGUUGUAAAGCACUUUCAGCGAGGAGGAAGGGGUGUGUGUUAAUAGUACACACCUUUGACGUUACUCGCAGAAGAAGCACCGGCUAACUCUGUGCCAGCAGCCGCAGUAAAAC